AUAUAUAGCCAACUUCCCAUCCAAUGCUCACAUAUUGUAGAACAACAGGUUAAAUAUAUAUACGGUUUAGCUUUCUAUGUCAUUAUUAUUUUUUAGUUGGGCAUCCUUUCUAUAGUUUUACCUUCUAAGAUGGUUAACUUUAAGAAGCUUCUCUUAAACAUGGUUUUGCUAUUUUUGAUUCUCUUAUCAAUGAAUCUUGCAACAGCAAGGCAACCCCUUUGGAUAUCUGAGCCUCAUCACAAAGCAUAUGGACGACUCCUUGAAGCUGCUGAUGAUCCACAAGGCCACAAUUAUCAUGGCCCAAAUCCAUGAGAAGUGAAGGCCCAAUUAGUUUUGCUGCCAAAGGCAUAUGCAAGUUGAGUAGCAAAAACAUAAAACUAAUAGAACCAGCCUGAGGCAGAACAGGUUUGGGUUUCAUGGUCAGAAAACUUUGUCGUGGAGAAGCAGAUAAAUAACUGCAUAUGUAUUAAUAAAUUAUUUUAGUUUGGUUUGGAAUUACGAUUUUGUGUGUAAUUAAUUAUAUUGAUAAAUUCAACUGCACUGUGUUAAUUGCAUACAUUUUUCUUUUGGUU